rnacentral:rRNA from 1 species
AGUGAACGCUGGCGGUAGGCCUAACACAUGCAAGUCGAACGGCAGCACAGUAAGAGCUUGCUCUUACGGGUGGCGAGUGGCGGACGGGUGAGGAAUACAUCGGACUCUACUUUUUCGUGGGGGAUAACGUAGGGAAACUUACGCUAAUACCGCAUACGACCUACGGGUGAAAGCAGGGGAUCUUCGGACCUUGCGCGAUUGAAUGAGCCGAUGUCGGAUUAGCUAGUUGGCGGGGUAAAGGCCCACCAAGGCGACGAUCCGUAGCUGGUCUGAGAGGAUGAUCAGCCACACUGGAACUGAGACACGGUCCAGACUCCUACGGGAGGCAGCAGUGGGGAAUAGUGGACAAGGGGCGCAAGCCUGAUCCAGCCAUACCGCGUGGGUGAAGAAGGCCUUCGGGUUGUAAAGCCCUUUUGUUGGGAAAGAAAAGCAGCAGGUUAAUACCCCGCUGUUCUGACGGUACCCAAAGAAUAAGCACCGGCUAACUUCGUG